rnacentral:lncRNA from 10 species
CACCAACCUAUCAAAACUCCAAACAUGUUCAGGCAUGAGCAACCGUGCCCAGCCUGACUCUGUUUCAAGAAACAAAACAAAACAAACCCUCCAAACUCUAGGUGAACCUAACUAUGCCUCUCCUUUAUGCUUACAGCCAGGCCAGGAAGCAUUUUUUAAGAACUACUGGGGGUGUAAGUAACACUAUAAAUUCAGUCACCAACCUCAAUGCCGUUAGACAAUUCCAGUGCAUUUUGAUGUUUAGUUGCACUGUCCUCAGACUUCAAGCUUCCCUUCUAGCUCCUCGCUCUCAGCAGAUCACCUAAUGUUAUAGCUGCCUAAUCCUCCUUUCCUUCUCACUGCUGAAAGAUGUUCCUUCUGUGCUCAGAAUUCCAUCCCUCCAGGCUUCUCUGGAACUUUGCACUAUUCAUUGGCAGGAGAUGAGACUGUGUGGGGGGAGAGGAGUUAGGAGAUGGUUGCAGGGGUACUUGUUUUCAAAUGCAAAUAAGGUUAUACUUCUCCCCAACAAGCAAUCCUUUGAUACCUUUCCAUUGCUCUGAAGAUUUUUUUUUUUUUUAAAUGGGGUCUUGCUCUGUUGCCUGGAGUGCAACAGAGUGCUAGAGUGCGGUGGUGCAAUCUUGGGUCACUGCAACCUCUGCCUCCCGGGUUUAAGCAAUUCUUCUGCCGCACCCUCCUGAGUUGCUGAGACUACAGGCACACGUCACCACACCCAGUUAAUUUUUGUAUUUUUAGGAGAGACCGGGUUUCACCAUGUUGGCCAGGCUGGCCUCGAACUCUUAACCUCAAGUGAUCUGCCUGCUUUUGGCUCCCAAAGUGCUGGGAUUACAGGCCUGAGUCACCACGCCCAGCUUGAGGUGGGGGUUCUACUCCAGAUGGGUUGCUCAGGGAAGGUCCUCUGAGGAGGUGGCAUCACCUGAGUCCUGAAUCACAGGCAUGCACCAGCACACUCAGCUAAUUUUUAAACUUUUUGUAGAUAUGAGGUCUCACUCUAUUGCCCAGUCUGGUCUCAAACCCUAGGCUCAAGCGAUCCUCCUGCCUCAGCCUCCCAAAGUGCUGGGAUUAUAGGUGUGAGUCAUUGUGCCUGGCCAAGAUGAUUAAUUUGAAUGUCAUAUUUAAUUAAUUUGCUUAAUUGUAGUAAUCUUUUUUUACCUGAACCCAUAGAAUUUUGCAGGCACCAUCUGGCCAAGUUUCAGGAGUCAAUAAUACCUUGGAAAAAUUUAAAAGUUCAUUAUAUGGUUUACUUUUGUUAUCAAAUAACUACAUUUUUUGUAAAAUUUAUUAGACAAUCCAAUAAUUUUUCUUCCAGAUUUAAUACUACUCUAGUGUUCUCUGUUUUCUCCUCCAG